rnacentral:rRNA from 1 species
AGAGCGAACGCUGGCGGCAGGCCUAACACAUGCAAGUCGAGCGCCCGUAGCAAUACGGGAGCGGCAGACGGGAUAGUAACACGUGGGAACGCGCCCUUCGGUUCGGAAUAACUCAGGGAAACUUGAGCUAAUACCGGAUACGCCCUUACGGGGAAAGAUUUAUUGCCGAAGGAACGGCCCGCGUCCGAUUAGCUAGUUGGUGAGGUAAUGGCUCACCAAGGCGACGAUCGGUAGCUGGUCUGAGAGGAUGACCAGCAUCACUGGGACUGAGACACGGCCCAGGCUCCUACGGGAGGCAGCAGUGGGGAAUAUUGGACAAUGGGCGCAAGCCUGAUCCAGCCAUGCCGCGUGGAUGAUGAAGGCCUUAGGGUUGUAAAGUCCUUUUAACGGGGAAGAUAAUGACGGUACCCGUAGAAUAAGCCCCGGCUAACUUCGUGCCAGCAGCCGC